rnacentral:rRNA from 1 species
CCAGAGAUGGAUUGGUGCCGUUCGGGAACUCUGACACGAGGUGCUGCAUGGCUGUCGUCAGCUCGUGUCGUGAGAUGGUUGGGUUAACGUCCCGUAACGAGCGCCAACCCUUGUCCUUAGUUACCAGCACGUUAUGGUGGGCACUCUAAGGAGACUGCCGGUGACAAACCGGAGGAAGGUGGGGAUGACGUCAAGUCAUCAUGGCCCUUACGGCCUGGGCUACACACGUGCUACAAUGGUCGGUACAAAGGGUUGCCAAGCCGCGAGGUGGAGCUAAUCCCAUAAAACCGAUCGUAGUCCGGAUCGCAGUCUGCAACUCGACUGCGUGAAGUCGGAAUCGCUAGUAAUCGUGAAUCAGAAUGUCACGGUGAAUACGUUCCCGGGCCUU